UGUGCAGAAGCCCCUCACCGUGGCUGCUCCCGCAUGCAUCCUCCUCCUCCUCUUCCUCCUCCUGGAGCACAGUGAUGUAGACCACGAUUUGCAGCAGCAUCCCUCCAGGCUGCUCAGGGCUCCAUAGGGACAUCAACACCAGCUGGGAUGGAGGAGACACUGGGACAUCACCACCCUGCUGCUGUGCAUUGGUCCUGCAUUACUGGUGAAGACCACGAGGCUGGGAGGGGGAAAGGAGCAAAGCAAGGCAAGGCAGCCUCGGAGCGCAGGAAAUGUGCGUUAAUGGCUUGUGGAUGUCUCUGUCUCCCAAAUGAUGGAAUUGCCGGUGCCGGGCUGUUUUUGACAGCCUGUCUUUUCCAUGUUUUUAAAAUAUUCAUGCCCCGAAAUCUAAUUACCAGCAAAUUUCAUGCUAAUGAAGGGAAGGCUCCGGCUUCCCUCUGCCUCCCUCUUGUUCACGCUGCUAUAGGAGAGCUCUUUCUUUCUUUCUUUCUUCCCAAUUGCUUUUCUUGCAUGGCAAACCCAACCCCAACCAAAGGAUCGCCGACAAUAAAGCUUGGCUUGCUCAA